rnacentral:rRNA from 1 species
AGCGAACGCUGGCGGCAGGCUUAACACAUGCAAGUCGAGCGGGCAUCCUUGUGGUGUCAGCGGCGGACAGGUGAGUAACGCGUGGGAACGUGCCCUUCGGUUCGGAAUAACUCAGGGAAACUUGAGCUAAUACCGGAUACGUGCGAGAGCAGAAAGGUUUAUCUGCCGAAGGAUCGGCCCGCGUCUGAUUAGCUAGUUGGUGAGGUUAUGGCUCACCAAGGCGACGAUCAGUAGCUGGUCUGAGAGGAUGAUCAGCCACACUGGGACUGAGACACGGCCCAGACUCCUACGGGAGGCAGCAGUGGGGAAUAUUGGACAAUGGGGGCAACCCUGAUCCAGCCAUGCCGCGUGAGUGAUGACGGCCUUAGGGUUGUAAAGCUCUUUUCUCCGGGACGAUAAUGACGGUACCGGAGGAAUAAGCCCCGGCUAACUUCGUG